AUGAACGCUAGCUACAGGCUUAACACAUGCAAGUCGAGGGGCAGCAUGAACUUAGCUUGCUAAGUUUGAUGGCGACCGGCGCACGGGUGAGUAACACGUAUCCAACCUGCCGAUGACUCGGGGAUAGCCUUUCGAAAGAAAGAUUAAUACCCGAUGGCAUAGUUCUUCCGCAUGGUAGAACUAUUAAAGAAUUUCGGUCAUCGAUGGGGAUGCGUUCCAUUAGGUUGUUGGCGGGGUAACGGCCCACCAAGCCUUCGAUGGAUAGGGGUUCUGAGAGGAAGGUCCCCCACAUUGGAACUGAGACACGGUCCAAACUCCUACGGGAGGCAGCAGUGAGGAAUAUUGGUCAAUGGACGAGAGUCUGAACCAGCCAAGUAGCGUGAAGGAUGACUGCCCUAUGGGUUGUAAACUUCUUUUAUACGGGAAUAAAGUGAGGCACGUGUGCCUUUUUGUAUGUACCGUAUGAAUAAGGAUCGGCUAACUCCGUGCCAGCAGCCGCGGUAAUACGGAGGAUCCGAGCGUUAUCCGGAUUUAUUGGGUUUAAAGGGAGCGUAGGCGGACGCUUAAGUCAGUUGUGAAAGUUUGCGGCUCAACCGUAAAAUUGCAGUUGAUACUGGGUGUCUUGAGUACAGUAGAGGCAGGCGGAAUUCGUGGUGUAGCGGUGAAAUGCUUAGAUAUCACGAAGAACUCCGAUUGCGAAGGCAGCCUGCUGGACUGUAACUGACGCUGAUGCUCGAAAGUGUGGGUAUCAAACAGGAUUAGAUACCCUGGUAGUCCACACAGUAAACGAUGAAUACUCGCUGUUUGCGAUAUACAGUAAGCGGCCAAGCGAAAGCGUUAAGUAUUCCACCUGGGGAGUACGCCGGCAACGGUGAAACUCAAAGGAAUUGACGGGGGCCCGCACAAGCGGUGGAGCAUGUGGUUUAAUUCGAAGCAACGCGAAGAACCUUACCUGCUCUUGACAUCCCAUUCGAUAGAGGGUAAUGCCUCUAGCCCUUCGGGGGAAUGGAGACAGGUGGUGCAUGGUUGUCGUCAGCUCGUGUCGUGAGAUGUUGGGUUAAGUCCCGCAACGAGCGCAACCCUUAUCGAUAGUUACCAUCAGGUGAUGCUGGGGACUCUGUCGAGACUGCCGUCGUAAGAUGUGAGGAAGGUGGGGAUGACGUCAAAUCAGCACGGCCCUUACGUCCGGGGCUACACACGUGUUACAAUGGGGGGUACAGAAGGCAGCUACACGGCGACGUGAUGCUAAUCCCUAAAGCCUCUCUCAGUUCGGAUUGGAGUCUGCAACCCGACUCCAUGAAGCUGGAUUCGCUAGUAAUCGCGCAUCAGCCACGGCGCGGUGAAUACGUUCCCGGGCCUUGUACACACCGCCCGUCAAGCCAUGAAAGCCGGGGGUACCUGAAGUGCGUAACCGCGAGGAGCGCCCUAGGGUAAAACUGGUGAUUGGGGCU
rnacentral:rRNA from 1 species